GCACGUUAAAAAUUUAAACACGAAUUUCUGCCAAAAAAAAAAACUGAAAACACCAUCGCCAGCCAAAUAGCGUCUGCAAUGCCAAUUAUAUUUAUUGAACAAAAGGCAAAAUCUGCUUUGUAUAUACGAAAUAUCCACCACAUCUGCAUAUUUAAUAAGUAGCAUUCCAGGUGGUCUCGAAAAAUCUAGAGACAAUGUGGCAACUCUAGGCAAAUGAACUGUUUUACCUGCACACAUACGAAUGCGGCGCACAUAACACACAAACGGAUAAUUUAGUGGAAUUUUCGAAAAUAGCAAAGGAAAGGCAACCAUAAUCCUCAAGAGCAGCAGCAGCAUCCAACAACAAAAAACGGCACAGGCAUAAUAAUCAAAGAUUAAAUCAGGUUUAUAUGGAAGGGUUAAAAAGAGCAAAAGCAGCCUGUCACAGGAAGAAAUACACGUUUCCUAGUCACAGAGGCACAACUACAAAAACAACAACGAACAACUGAUUUUGAUUACAACUACAAGGAGCGCGCGCUACACAACACACACGCACGCACAACCAGACACAUACAUUACACAUACGUGUGAUUUGCGCUCACCAAAAGAGAGAGCAAGUGCGAGCGAGCGAGAGGGAGAGCGAGAGCGGACGUAUGUGUGUGUGGGAAGAGAGCGAGCAAUGCACACAGAUUAACUGGCGCGCUCAGUUUUUGCGCUCACGUCUUCCGCUUUUUCAGCUCAGUUCUCAUUCGAGUGCGGUACGGUUACGUCGCAUUGCGCUGCUUGAACACGGCCGGCGGCUGCAAAAUACAAAACACAAGAUUUUCCGCUAGGCAACAGCAACACCAACAACAUAUGGGCGGCAUUUGUUUUGAAAGGCAGACGAAAUAUAAACUAAACCGCAACUCGCCGCUAAUAACUGUUUGUGUUUGUGUAAAUAUAUAGAUUAUAUGACGAAAAAGUGAAAUAGUGCAAAGAAAUAACAAAGAAAAAGCCCAAAAAAAUUAUUAUAAUAAAAAUAAUAAUAAGACGGGCAUCGAGACCGCAGAGACCAGUUUGAAAUCGCCGCCUAUAUUUGCAGGGCAGUCGACGCGGCAGAGAAGCGAGCAGCAGUGCAUGCUGUGUGCGAGUGAAAGAGCUGGCGAUAGUUUUGACAGUGUGUGUGUGUGUGGAGAAGGGGCAGGCAAUUGAACGUACACCAACACACACACACAUACACAUGUGCACAUGCUAGCCAAGACAGUGCUACAACAACAACAGUAAGCAGCGACCACAUACGGUGAAAAGGCCGCGUCGCUGUCUCAAGGAGCGAAAGGCAGCAAGAGCGAGAGAGAGAGCGACCGAGAGCAAAGCGAGCUAUAAGAAUAAUAAAUUACACUUUGCUUUUGCUAUAAUAAGAAGAAAAAUUUAUAUACACACGCACACUCUCACACACAUGUGCAAGUAAUGUUUUUCUGUUUAUGUGUGUGUGAUGUGGGGGGAAAAUUGUAAUAAAAUAUGAACGCACGAAAAACGCUGGAAACGGAAAACUAAAAGUAAAAUUUCGAAACAUCAGCGCAGUAGUAGCAGCGCAAAUAUGCAGCGGUAUAUGUAUAUGUAUAUGUGUGUGUGUGUAAAUUAUUAACAGUUGGGCGGCGCAAAUCAAAAGCGAAAAGCAAAAUAAGUAAAGCGACGAAAAAUAAGCAAGAAGCAGCAGGAGCAGUAAAUAAAACUGAAACAACAUUCAAUGUGCCAUAAUUUUCAACAACAAAAACAACUACUACUAUAAUUAAUAACUAAGCAAAGGAAAAAAGGAGCAGCUUUAAACACACAAUAAAUCAAUGCAUUAUAUUAUACACAUAUAC